rnacentral:rRNA from 1 species
UAAUACGGGGGAUGCAAGCGUUAUCCGGAAUUAUUGGGCGUAAAGAGUCCGUAGGUUGUUAUCAAAGCCUAUUGUUAAAUAUCAAGGCUUCACCUUGAAUCUGCAGUAGGAACCUGAUAACUUGAGUGCGGUAGGAGUAGGGGGAAUUCCCGGUGUAGCGGUGAAAUGCGUAGAUAUCGGGAAGAACACCGGAGGCGAAAGCGCCCUACUAGGCCGACACUGACACUAAGGGACGAAAGCUAGGGGAGCAAACGGGAUUAGAUACCCCGGUAGUCCUAGCCGUAAACGAUGGGCACUACGUGUGGGGAAAACUUAGUUUUUUCUGUGCGAUAGCUAACGCGUUAAGUGCCCCGCCUGGGGAGUACGCUCGCAAGGGUG